rnacentral:lncRNA from 1 species
GUAUAUUGAACCCCCCACUAUAGACCUCUCAUUUUAAAAAUUUUAGCUAUACUAACUCCUUAACAUAGUAAUAUUACUCCAAUAAGUAGUUUGUAUGUAUUUUACUCUUGAAAAAUGUUUUGAAAAUUUUACUUUGCCAUGGUAUUUUAACCCCCUGUUGUAUAUUGAACCCCCUACUAAAAACCUCCAAUUUAAAAAAAAAUGAUAGCCAACUAAUUGUAAAUUAGAUUAUCUGCAAUACUAUUUAUCCAAAACAGGGGGUUCAAAAUAAAAUAUGGGAAAAAUGACCCUGGGGUCACUUUUUAGGGGGUUCAAAAUACCAUAUGACAUCGGUCAGAAACAACAGCAUUUGCAUGUGAUUUGAUGCAUUUUUUUCUACUUCUAGAAAGAAUCUAUAGGCCCCAUUAUGUAUGGAAUUGACACAAGAAUAUGUUUUACACCCAUAGCCUUUUCAUAUUCUAUUAGAGGAAAAACCAAACUUUCAUAUAUAGAUGGUGGUCAAAAUUUUUACCAUAACACUUUGUAAUAAUUGUCUUCAUAUAAUGAAGAUAAAGCAUUUAAAAAUAGUUGAUGCUCUUUUCAUAGUUCGUCAUAAUAACAUCAGCAUAUAAUAAAUUUCAGUUUUUUUUUCUCACCAAUUUCUAUUCAGCAGUCUAAGAACUCAAGAAAUGAAACUAAAUUAUUUAUAUACAAGACAUUCUUGUUUCAAGCCACAGUUUACAUCAAACCACUCUGUGAAAUGAUUAUUUAUUCCUACAGAACAUAACACAUUUGUAAAAAUGGACUUAAUAGCAAAAUAAAAAGUCUGGACAACACCAAUUAUAUUUAGUUAAUACCAUAACAUCUCUUUCCAAAGUGUUGUAAGCCUUUAAAAAAAUUAAUAAAGCCACAAAAUGUUGACUAAGGAAGUGUUUUUCUAUCAAAUUAGUAAGAGUAGAUGAUUGUUCUAUUGUACUACAAACAGUUCCUAAGAUAGAACAUUGUUAUCAUCUAUCCAACGAGCUAAUCUAUCAGUCAGUAUAUUACAGUAUUAUAAGUAAGACACCGAUGCAGGGGCAACCCUUUAUAACUAAGGGGAUCUCUUGCAUCUUACAUGUUAAAUUUAGGAACAAAAUUCAUAAUACAUCAAUAUUUUUAAUAGAACAUCAACAGGAUCCAUUAUAUACUUAACUAUACUAUACUAAACUAUACAACACUAUCUAAUUAAUAAAUGGAUUAUAUAACCCUGUUAAUCAUCAGUGAUUUUGCAGAUCCAUUUAACCAAACAUUUUUAUGAAGCAGAAAUUUAUAUUUAGAAAUUUGUUUUCACUUGUGCUAAAAUUUAGAACCAAACAAAAAUUAAAUCAAGUUUUUCAAAUUUUCAAUUUCCAUCCAUCAAACGGUGUUAA